rnacentral:lncRNA from 1 species
AUGGCCACAUUCUCUUUUUGGCUGGAUGUGGAGUUCCUAGGCCAGGGAUCGAAACUGCAUCGUAGCAGUGACCCGAGCUGCUAUGGUGACGAUGUCAGACCCUUAACCCACUGGGCCACAAGGGAACUCCUAUGGUUAUACUCUUGUUGGUUCUCAGACAAGGGACAGGCUGCUGGCCCCAUCCCACCCCCAAACCAGGGGCUCACUUUUGCUCUCCAGGCCACCAGGCCUGGUCCUGAGAAGUAUGCGCCCGCAUCACAGAUCCUAAUGCUGAGCUCCUGCCCUGCCACCCCUGCACCCCUGCCCAGGGGUGGAGCAGGAGCUCUAGGCUCGUUUCUCCCUUAUCCCUGCAGAUGGCUCCUCCGAGUGGGGGUGUCUGUCUCGCUUCUCCAACCACCCAAUUCCCAGUGCCCCCAGUGGGCUCACUCGCUCACAGGCCACCACCUCCCAGGAGAACUGAUACCACGAGAGGGUGGGUCCCUUCCCCAGAGACCCAGAGCCAUCUGGGGAACCUGCCCCUCUGGGGGUGGGAAGGGGAGCCCCCAAGGGGCUGGGUGUGGUGUGAAGCUGGAAGGACACCCGCUGGGCCUGGCCUGGCGCCGCACACAAGGGUCAGGGAGCCAGAUAGACAAGUUUUAUUCCACCCGCCUCCUGUCCCAGCCACCAGGACCGCUGGAGGGUCUGGGGCAGAGUCACGCUUGGGAGGUCACGCUGUGGCUGGAGCAAGUGGGCGAGGGGAAACCAGGUCUGCCACCGGCCAUGUCACCCUGGGGGCCAGGCCAGGCAGAGGGGUUCACAGUCUCCGUGGUGUGGGCCCUGGAGGGCGGUGUGUGUGUGGGGGGGUCGGGGUGGCGGUGCCCGAUCCCGCAGACGGGGCUCCGCGAGCCGCCGCCGCCCCAGAACGAAGGCGCGGGGUCUGGGGUGGUGGCGGCUGCAGCUUUUCCGACAGAGACUCGGGAAGGCCGAGGGCUGCGGCCGUCGGGGGCUGGACGGGACAGUAGAAAACUCUCGCACUCACGCACCGCACGGGCACACACGCGGGGUCGGUGGGAACGCACGCAGCCCUCACACGACGCUCUGCCGUUGGGGCGUCUUGGGCUCUGGGCCUCUGUGCGUGCUGUGUCCUUUGCCUGGCCAACCCCUGACGUUCAGGACUGAGCAUGGACGUGACCUUGGGGAAGGCGGGGGUCUCUAUGGGGCUCUCAGGAGUCAUCGUGACACUGCUGGUGGUGUCUGCCCGCCGGGUCCCCCUCGGCUCUGGAAGGACGGACCCCGGUGACCCAUCUCUGUGCCCAGUGCCCGGCACGCAGCACAGCCUGUGGAUGUUGGGGGUGAGUGUGCUGCGGGACUGAAACUCGAACCCCACGGGAUCCCCGUUCUGCACGUCUUUCCACUGGGAGGCCUGGGCCCCCAGGCAGAAGCACAGGGGCCAGCCAUCAUCCCGCUUCCCACCCCAGGCCCAGGAGACCCCUACCCAGGAUGCAGGGGUGGGUGAAGGUACCCUCGCUGGAGUAGAGGCCGUAGGUGCCCAGGUAGGGCGACACCACCUUCUGGAUCAGCGCCUCCAGGCGCAGGUAGUCCUUGGUCACUCCCCGGGACUCGUGCACGCCCUGCAGGACGAGAGGAGGCAAGGGUCACUGCACAGCCCAUCCCCUGCCUCCCGAGCCCGGCCGGGCUCAGCUCAGAGGCCACACGCACGGCCCCGUCCCUCCUCCCACCCCCCGGGUGGGUCCUGGCCCCCAGGGCGAUGCCCCCGUGCCCGCCCUCCCCAGCCCUCGGAACCACUCUCUGGCUCUAACGCCCUGGCAAAGGCCUUCCUUCCACCCCACGCUGCCUCCUCUGCCAGCUCCUCUCGCCCGGAGC